ACAACCCAAGCACAUCUCCCCACCCCUCAAACUGUCUAAUCCGGAGAUCGUAAGUUUUUCAAAAUCUGUGAGUCAGCAUCUGUUCUGCAAAGAAGUUCAGUGUGUCCUUUUUUCAGAUUCCGUAUGUCAGUGAAAAAAUUUGAUGUUGGUGUCUCAUUGUAUGGCUGACCUCACUUAGCAUCAUAAUUUCUAGGUCCAUCCAUGUUGCUAAAAAUGCUGGUAUUUCGUUGAUUUUAAUGGCUGAGUAAUAUUCCAUUGUGUAUAUGUACCACAUCUUCUUGAUCCACUCCUCCGUCGAUGGACAUUUAGGUUGUUUCCAUGUCUUGGCUAUUGAAAAUAGUGCUGCAAUGAACAUCGGAGUGCAUGUGUCUUUGCCAGUCAUGGUUUUCUCUGGAUAGAUGCCCAGAAGUGGGAUUGCUGCAUCAAAUGGUAGUUCUAUUUUCAGUUUUCUGAGGAAUCUGCACACUGUUUUCCACAGUGGUUGCACCAAUUUACAAUCCCACCAACAGUGUACUAGGGUUCCUUUUUUCCACACCCUCUCCAGCACUUAUUGUUCGUAGACCUUUUGAUGAUGGCCAUUCUGGCUGGUGUAAGGUGGCACCUCAGAGUGGUUUUGAUUUGCAUUUGUCUAAUCAUGAGUGAUGUUGAACAUCUUUUCAUGUGUUUUUUGGCCAUCUGUGUGUCUUCUUUGGAGAACUGUCUGUUUAGAUCUUCUGCCCAUUUUUUGAUGGGAUUGUUUGUUUUUUGGUAUGGAGCUGCGAAAGGUGUUUAUAAAUUUUGGAGAUUAAUCCCUUGUCAAUUGAUUCAUUUGCAAAGAUUUUCUCCCAUUCUGUGGGUUAUCUUUUCAUUUUGUUGAGGGUUUCCUUUGCUGUGCAUAACCUUUUAAGUUUAAUUAGGUCCCAUUUGUUUAUUUUUGUUUUUAUUGUCAAUACUCUAAGAGGUGGGUCUGAGAAGAUGUUGCUGUCGUUUAUGUUAGAGAGUGUUUGGCCUAUGUUUUCCUCUAAGAAUUUUAUAGUGUCUGGUCUUAUAUCUAGGUCUUUAAUCCAUUUUAAGUUAAUUUUUGAGUAUGGUGUUAGGUACAACUAUAAAUGUAAUAAAUUCAUUGAGUAAUAAAAAAAAUUUUUAAAAAGCCCACAUCUCCAAUGUAAUAGUAUUUUGGGAUGGGGGCUUUGGUAGAUAAUUAAUUUUGUUUAUAUGAGGUGAUGAGUGUAGUCUCCAAGAUGGGAUUAGUGCCUUAUUAGAUGAGAAACAGACACAAUUUCUCACUCUCUCUCCUUCUCUCUUCCCACCCCCACAAAAAAAAGUUGUGUGAGCAAGCUGAGAAAUGGCAGUACUUAGCAAUCCAGGAAGAGAGGCUUCACUAAGAGCUGGAUCUGAUAGUCCCUUGAUCUUGGACUUCCCAGCUUCUAGAACUGGGAGAAAAAAUAUCUGUUAUUUAAGCCACCCCUUCUACCAAGUUGUGUUUUGUUACAAAAGCCCAAGCUUGUCAAGACACACCCUUAGCACGGCUAAAGCAACUUCCAUAGCAAAGCUCUCCCUUUCUGAAUCUGGAGAUUUCACUGCAAGGGACAGAAUAGAAGACCUUCAGAACAAGCAGUUGUUGUUCUCUUCAAAAAGCACAUUCCUUAUUGCAGAAACAUCUCCCCCAAGGGUUGACUGUCAUGACGGUCAUGUCAAGGUUCUAGAUUCUUCAGAGUUCAUUGCCACAUUUGUAGCUCACCAUUCACUGUUAUGAUGGUUUCAUUUUUUGCCUCCAUUAUCCUCCAGCAGAAUGGGGAUGCCAUCAGCCCACCCUCUAACCACCUGCUACAACUCUGGAGAGGCUGAGAUAAUAAUAAGAGUAACUAAUAAAGACAAAAAGAAAUGAAAAUGCACGUGCCCUGGGCAUUACAUUAUACCCAUAUUUGUGAACAGAUUAUAAUAAAAGCUUUCUUUCAUAAGUGACCCCAAAGCCCUUUAACUACUACCAUCAAAGAGUCAUUGUAAUGACUUGGAAGAUGUUUGGCUCUGUGGAUACCAGAGCUAAUGGGUAGUGGGAAGCUUCUAGGAGACAGUGGCUCCUCUGACAUCUUUCACAACCUUCUUGCCAGUGCUUGUCAGGCAGAGAGAGGAAACAGUAGUUUCUAGGGGUGACUCAAGGUCACGACUAGCUGAGUGGGCUUACACCAUUCAAAUUUGCUAUAGGUCUAAAAUACACUGCUUAUGCUGAUCUGCAGAAGUUCAAUGGAAUGUAAUGACUCAGAAAUGUUAAGCAUUCCAAAACACAGAAGUUUUGCUAAGUUUUUACUUUCUAAGUUAUACUGGAAUACUUGUUUGUAGCUCCAUGCCAGUAAAAGAAUAUAAAGCAGAUUUUUCUUUUGUAUCAGACUAAUACAUUCAUUACUAAGAGGGGGAAAAACAUAUUAUACCCAGAGUCAUUUCCUUAUUAGGAUGGAGCAGUGGCUUAUAGGAAAGAACAAAAGGAUAUUGUACAUGGUGACAAGGCUCAAAUAUGACUGGCUUGAUGGAAUGUUUCACAUAUUUUAUGCAUUCCAAAAGCUCAGCUAAGACUUCAUAAAUUUAGGUGAAAUAUUUUUCUUUUAACAAAAAUGUGUUUCUCUGUGCUUUCUCUUGUUUAAAUAAUUGACAACAGCCCAGGCUUUGGGAGCCAAUGUUCAAACACAAUUCAGUUUCAUAAUUGAAGAAAGAAAUAUCAGGUCUGAGUGGGGUUUUGUUUUGCUUUGUAAUUGUAUUACAAAUACAACCAUCCUUGAGUGUUCCUGAGUUCUUGGCUGUGCAGCACUUUCUAAUUCCAAAUCUGACGCUGAAAACCUAGACCUGGGAAACCAGCUUCCAAACAAACACAAACAAACACCUCUCAAUUAUUCAAUCUUUUUAUUAACAUAAACACUUGUGAGGCAUUACUGCACUAUAUUGCAAUAGGCAAUUUGUUGUUAAUUUUCAACUGAUAUCACAUAUUUUUGGCAUCUUGGGUGAUUCAAGGUAAAUAACACUAGCAGAGAUGAUAAAAGAGGGCUGACUGGGGAGGUAGCAGGCUUGUUCUUACCUGAUUCUGCCUUAACCAGGAAAAUCACACCCAAGCAGGAGGGUCAGUAGUCUCUUAUUUCAUGAGGAUGCUUUGCAUAGAUUUAAGUGAAGUAACAGGUGUGAGACCAUUAAAAUGAUUUAUAUAGAGAAGCAGCAAUGCAUCUGAUGUUCAAGUUGGAAGAAUGGGCGAGUUCCCACCACUUGAUUUUCUUCCCCCUGGUGCACUGAACGCCCAAGGAGGUCCCGAGGGGCAGCAGAGACACUGUUGGCAUCACCAGCAUUCUUCCUUAUGGCCAAUCCUCAAUCUUUAUUUAGCCAAACAGGAUUAAUUCUCUCUGAGAGAAGCACACCACCAAACCUGUGGACACCAGCCCCACUGAAGGGAAAACCUCCACGAACCCACGUGGAGCGGCCGAGGCUCCGAGGGGCCGAUUAAUUCUUUGAGGAAGACUCUGGCCGGCACAGACUUAGACCCCCCCUAGACUUCGACGGAAGAUGCAAGUCAAACCCUGAACUCACUGCGGACCCUUCUCUGCUUCGCUUCACAUUCAAGGCAAAACCUUCCGCGAAUGGAACUGAUUUUUUUUUUUUUUCCCUGAGAUUUGUUGCUUCUAGGAAUGAGAUGAGACAUUCAAACUCAUUUCCCGGGAGGCUCAAACCAAAUUUGAAACUAGCAGAGAAACAGUGAAAGCCCAAUAAUAUCACCAGCUGGCUCUCCCACAAUCAUCUGACAUCGUAGGGGAAGUUGUAAUAUGUUGUGUGAUUACUUCCUCUCCUUUAUUUGUUGGCUUUUCCUCCUCUGUUUCUGAGCUAUCUUUCUUCAUUUUGUGAAGAGCAAUAUAAAUAUAUAAUGUUUUCAGGCUGGAAACAAGUUUGUCUGAAGUUGCUGGGUUAUUUUGAUUUCUGAAUACUUUGGACAGAAAGUUAUAAUUUUCAUUUUCCCCCAUGUAAAAAAGAUAAAGGAAGAGUAACCACAGAGCUAGGUAUGUAAUGAUUAACACAGGGAAGUAUUUUAUUGGAAUCCUGCAUGCUUUAGGUUAUUAGGUUACUGGUUUUCUGUAACAUUCAACUCGUGUCAAACUGUGAAAUCUGUUCGAUUUUAUCAGAAACAGGAUGGUAUUUCAGCCAGCAUUUAAUCUUCAACUCAAAUUAUUAUAUAUCUCUAGUCCAAACUUCAGUAAAGAAUAAAUGCAUGUAGCGUAAUUGUUUCACUUCCAGUGUUACAUAUAUUUUUCUAAAAUGCAUAUGGACAUACAUCUGCAUAAAGUCUUAUCUUGAGUGUGCAGUCCCCAUCGUAAUACAGGUAUCUUGGGUUUGAGAAGUUUUUCAUACUCUUUGACACAUGCAGAAUGAUUUAUAUAGAAAAGCAACAGUGCAUUUGAUGUUUAAGUUUUUCUAUUUUUUUCCUGUGAGGUAUUUUGAUAUAAAUUAAUAACUGUGAAAAAAAUCGGAAUAUUAUUUCUAAACUAGAUGGAUUUUUUUUAAUCCAUAGUUUUACUUAUUUGGAUCCAGUGCUCUCCGAUCACUAUAAAAUAUUACAAAGUGUACUCCACCACCAUGGUGUCUUAUCUUUGAUUGGUCCACACAAUAUUCUCAAGCAUUUGAAUGCUGUGAGCUGUGCUGGAUCUUGAUUUGGCAACAGUAACUAUAAGUGGCACAAGCUGAUGCCAAGGGACCCUGUGACUUAGGCAGGUGCUCAGAUAUUGCAGGAAGCAAUUUCAGCAAGCAAAAGUAUAAAUUUUUUCCAUAAUAACUUAAUUUCUCUCCUACAUUGUCAUUUUAUUAGCUAAUGGACAUGUAAUCAAUUUAGCAGCAACUCCCUACUACUCUCCUUGCUUUGCCUGGGGCCAUGCUUGUGCUCGCAGGAGUUCAUAUGGUGCCCAGGGAUUGCUGGGUGACUGUGGCCUGGGCUGGCCCCUGUGCGCAGCAGUGUCACCUGAGAUAUCCUUUUCCUGUUAAGUGUUCCUUCAUUCAUUUCUACAUGUCACUAAAGGACUGUGUUCCAGUCACCAAGCCCUGCCAGGCUCUCUGCCCCUUUGCAAUCUCCCUCAAGUUCAUAGUGCCAAGUCAUUGCCUUCUCAUCACUUGGGGUGCAAGGGCACUUAGUGGAGCCAUCAGAGCCUCUUCAUCCUUUGCCAGCUGAUCACUGACAGUGAGGAAUCACUCACAUCCUUUCAUAUGUGAGGUGCCUGGAUCCCUCUGCCUCCUACAUCAUGCAGGCCUUUCGACUCCUCUAUGCCCACAUGUGGGGACACUGGGGCUUUCUCACCUCUCCUGGGUAUGACAGACAAGUCUAUUUUUCUCAGACUCAUGUGAAGGGUCUGUGGUCUGCUCUGUUGCUGGGAUCUGAAAUUCCAUUAGCAGCACUGCAGGUCAGCAUACACCCUCCCCAGCUUAUCCUGCAACUCUCCUCCCAUCCAAUCCAGGGAGCCAUUUCUGGGCUGGAGUUGAGAGCUACCAGAAGCCUUGCUCCAACUCUUUGUCCUCUGCAUUCCCUCGGGCCUCAGCUCUUGAAAUUCUAAAGACUUUUCUCUGCUGUAACAUCCCUUCCCAGCAAUGAACUUUUAUUGACGAAACAGGAAGGAGAUCAUCCUCUCAGAGGAAGCAGGAGGGAGGAAGGCAGGCUUAGCUGCAUCAACACAUUUACUCAGACCAUGAGGUCUAGCAGCAUCCUGGGAGAAUCACUAGUUACAGGGAGGGUCACUUCACUUGAUUUGCAGACUGUGGAAUGACUGAGCAAACAAUGUCAUAGCUCAGACCUAAAAGAUUAAUAAACACCAGCUGGGCAAAGGGGAAAUCUGUUCCAAACAUAGGCACAGAAAUGAAUGGCUGCUAAGAGUACACAGAACAUUCUAGAAACUAAAAGAAGUUCAGUAUAACUAGAAUAUAGAAUGUGAGUAGGAGGCUGGGAGGAUGGAGGUCGUGGAGUAGAAUUCUGCAGUGGCAGGAGGAAGGCUGCAGAGGUAAACUCAGUUCGGCAGCAUCACAUGUUGCUUAUGCACAGCCCUCCUUUCUUCUUUGUUAGGGAAUACCACGUUUGUUCAGGCCUUACUGUGCCUAGUCCUACAGGGUUCAUUAUGACCAGUGGGAGCCAAUCACAGUCACCUUAUGAAAGUGAUUAGUUUAAGGGCCAGCAAAAUAUCAACUUUGGUCAACCAGCCACAGAAGAACAUCAGGUAAGUGGAAGACUUAGGAAAAGGCUUUCUCCCUGAUACUGGAAAGCUGCUUGGGCUGAAUAAAGAGUGUUCUCUUUCUCAUGCUGUCCUUCCUGCCUUUGAAUAGGAUUGUUCACUGUUUUGAUGUAGGAACUAGAGCGUGUAAAAUGUGAAUACAGGGCAACGAAUUUCCAGAUAGACAGCAGUAUUCUGAUGAAAAGAUAGAAAAAUCUGGGGUUCUUGGUUGAGUCAGAAACCCAAACCAGAACUGUUUACAUUGUGGUAUUCUAAUAAACAAUAAAUAUCUCAAUGGCAUAGACCAUUAUUAGUUAAGAAUUCAGUGCAACAAAAUUCUUCCCAAUGUGGUGUAAGAUAUUUCUGGAUUUUACAAAGGGAGCAUAUAAUGUUGGAGUCAAGUGUGGAAAGAUGUUUUGCAGACACAUGUGAAGGCACAUACUAAAGAGAAAGUAUGGUAUGGACAAAGGAGCAAAUUGAAAGAAAUUCAGUGUUGUUGGAACUAAAAUGUGUUUUAAGCAAUAAGGUUGAGGUAUAAGUACAGACUAAAUUAUGAUGAGCCAUAUAAUCCAAAUAAUGACAUUUGGCUUUUAUCCUAAG
ensembl:lncRNA